CUCAACCCUGACAAAACUGAAAUUCUCCUCGUGGGCACCAGAUCCACCCUUUCUAAAACCAGCACCUUCUCCAUUCAAAUUGACAACAAUACUGUCCUCCCCUCCCCCCAAGUUAAAAGCCUGGGUGUCAUCCUAGACGGUACUCUCUCCUUCACUCAGCAUAUCAAUACCACUACCCGGUCGGCCUACUCCCAUCUCCGUAACAUAAACCGCAUCCGUUCCUCACUCACCACCGAUAGCACGGCAAUACUCAUUAACGCCUUUGUCACCUCUCGUUUGGAUUACUGUAACUCACUCCUCACUGGUCUACCUCUCAAAUCACUUCGCAAACUUCAACUUGUCCAGAACUCUGCUGCCCGAAUCAUCACCAGAACUCCAUCCUCACAUCAUAUCACCCCUGUCCUUAAACAACUUCACUGGCUCCCUGUGUCCUUCCGUAUAAACUAUAAAAUCCUCCUUCUCACCUACAAAGCCCUCCACUCUAUUGCCCCACCAUACAUCACUGAACUACUUCAUAUCUAUUCUCCGCCUCGUCCUCUCCGCUCCUCCAGUUCCACUCUCCUCUGCACCCCUACAGCGCGCCUGGCCACCAUGGGCGCUAGAUCCUUCAGCCACACUGCGCCCCGCCUUUGGAACAUUCUCCCUCAUCGCAUCCGGUCGUCUCCGGACUUAUCAACUUUUAAAUCAUCACUCAAAACAUAUCUGUUCCGUAUAGCGUUUUCCACCUAACUCUCUUAACUUCUCAAAGCAGCCCGUGAUGUCCUACCACCCUCUGCCUAUUUCAUAUUGUCUCAUACUGUUUCAUAUUUGUUGUUCUGUCAUCUGGGUUUCUGUAUUUCAAUUUACUUUUACUGUACUUCGCCCACUUCCUAGAUAAUCCACCCUUUUGCCUUUACAUUCUCUCCCGCCGUUUAUGUAUUCUUGUUACUGUUGUUUUAAUGCACUCUAUGUAUAUCAUGCUGUAUGCUUCCUUUUCUAUCUGUAAGGUGACCUUGAGACUUUGAAAGGCGCCAUGAAAUAAAAUGUAUUAUUAUUA
rnacentral:lncRNA from 1 species